UAUUCUCAGGGCGGGGCGAAAUUCCCCACCGGCGGUAAAUCAGCGUUAGCUGAAAGCCCGCGAGCGCUUCCUGGCAACGGGAAGGUCAGCAGAUCCGGUGUAAUUCCGGGGCCGACGGUUAAAGUCCGGAUGGGAGAGGGUA
rnacentral:ncRNA from 1 species